CCCUUAGAUGUUCUGGGCCGCGCGCGUGCUACACUGAGUGGAUCAGCGGGUCAGGUUGCGCGAAAGUGUUUCCUAAUCUUUAAAUCCGCUCGUGAUGGGGAUUGACGGUUGCAAUUUUCCGUCAUGAACGGGGAAUACCUUGUAAGCGCGGGUCAUCAUCCCGCGCUGAAUACGUCCCUGCCCUUUGUACACACCGCCCGUCGCUCCUACCGAUUGAGUGGUCCGGUGAGGCUUUGGGAUCUGAGCGGAAAGAGCGUUUCGCUGUUUCUGCCCGGAAAACUCAGUCGAACCUUAUCAUUUAGAGGAAGGAGAAGUCGUAACA
rnacentral:rRNA from 1 species